rnacentral:lncRNA from 1 species
CUCAGCAUGGCGCUAACUCACCUUCUGCCUCUGCUGGCCUCUCUCCAGAUGCUCCCCAGGCCGGUGUCCCCUCAAGCCCCCCUCCCGGCUCCCCAGCUCACCGUGUCCCCACAGCAGCCUGUCUACGUAACUGGAGAAGCUGUGACCCUGACGUGCUCAGCUGGGGUGUCCACCGUGUCCAGGGUCCGGUUCUUCAGGGACGGUUACAAAAUCCACUCCAAGGAAUUCCCCUCACCCCGGUACAGUUACUCUGAGUUGAUUCGACUGUCGGGGGUGUCUGCAUUGCGAGCUGGAAAGUACAGCUGUGAAUCCUGGAAGACAGUGUCUGGGCGAGAAAUUGAAUCAAAGAGGAGCCAACCCAUCUCCAUAGCAGUGACAGGUGAGACCCCCCUGUCUCCUGCUGUUUCCUGGCCCCCUGGUGGGGUAUCUCUCCUCCAUUCACGGUG